rnacentral:rRNA from 1 species
GACGAACGCUGGCGGCGUGGAUUAGGCAUGCAAGUCGAACGGUAUCAUCCUUUCGGGGGUGAGAGAGUGGCGAACUGGUGAGUAACACGUAGGUUAUCUACCCUCAAGACGGGGACAACCCAGGGAAACUUGGGCUAAUACCGGAUGUGAGCAACUUUUAGUUGUUUGAAAGGUGGCGUAAGCUGUCGCUUGGGGAUGAGCCUGCGUCCUAUUAGUUAGUUGGUGAGGUAACGGCUCACCUAGGCAAUGAUAGGUAGGCGGCCUUAACGGGUGGUCGCCCACACUGGGAUUGAGAUACGGCCCAGACUCCUACGGGAGGCAGCAGUCGAGAAUAGUCUACAAUGGUCGGAAGACUGAUAGUGCGACGCCGCGUGAACGAUGAAUCCCUUCGGGGUUAAAGUUCUUUUAUAUGUGAGCAGUGCUUCUUAUAUUAACAGUAUGGGGAGAGAGAUAUUAGCAUAUAGAAUAAGACAACGGCUAACUCCGUGCCAGCACGCCGACGU